GAAUUUCCUUGUCUUAUCAAUUUUAGCUGUUCUCAGCCUAACUAACUAUUAGAAUUGUCUGUGAUUCACUAGCGUGGAAGAAAUUUAUUUGCUUGGCUUCCUGUUGAUAAUUGACGUAACAAAAACAUGUUGAGUGUUCAUUUAGUAAUAAUUAAGGCCUACUUUCUGUGGGGUUUGCUCGAUACUCGAAGCAGGAAGCUCUUGUUCAGCUCAUUUUGAUAUCUGUACAUUUGUGUUGAUUUAGACUCGGGUUUCAUGUGGAAAGCUGUCCUGAUUAAAUAAUAUUGUACAAUUCGUGAUUCAAUGAAAAAAUGGCAAAUUUAGUCUUCCUGGCCUCAAAAGUAACGCAGGAGAGUUAUUUCCUUUUAUUUGAGCCAGGAUAAGCCUUGUAGAAAGCUAGCUCUAGGACAGAAUUGUAACAAGAUUAUCAGUGUCAAGUCAAAUUCUAUGGGGCUUCUUUAAGGACAAAAUAACGAACAUCCAUACAUUAAUGUUUUGUUAAAUUAAUUAUUGUUGUGUGAGAUAAUACAAAUUUUAAAAUAGCAUAAAUCAAUUUCGUAUGGGAUACAUCGAUUUUGAAUGUCAUACAUUGAUGUUGUGCAGCAAACAUCACUUUCCUAAAUCAUGCAUGACCGUGUACAACUAAAAGAUGAUCGAUAAGCCUAAAAGAUGAGGUGUUAAUUCCCAAGGCCUCUUCUUUUGGCCGACUUCGGGUCACUUCUAUUUCUGCUUCCUAUUUCUGCUUUCAAUGACUUAGUCAUUGAAAAUUCUUGAUUUUUUCCAUUUCUGAUCUGUUUUCUAGAAACCUUUCUCAUCUAUCAAGGGAAAUGGUUUCCUUCCGCAUCAAAUUCAAACAGCAGAUCAAGUGGUUUCACAGUUUUUUUGUUUCUGUCAAAUUUUGUAACCUUUUCAAGUUAUUUUCUCAGUUAGUAUAGAGUGCAGACUACAGACUGAAUGCAAAACACAGAUUGAGAAUAGACUGUUUGUUUUUCUCUUAUGUGAUAACAUGUCAUUUUUCAACUUACCAAGUGUCAUGCAAUCGCUUUUCUGCAGUCAUCUUCAAGAAUGGGGAAUAUUCCAGGCCCAUUUCUUCAAAUAUUUUGUUUUUAACAAAGCAUCAAGGCCAUAAUCAUUCUUAAAUAGAAUUUCAAGCCUUAAUAGUCUUCACACUUUGCGCAUGAGAUUUCAGUGUUAAAUAACAACACGUAAUAUGAUGGAAUCUAAGAAUAUUGAGUAAGAAUUUUGAAGCAAAUUAGGGUCAGAGCUCAACGUUGUGACCACUGCGACCAAAUUUUUUUUCAUUGGUGACUAACUUUCAAUCCUUUCCACUGAAAUACAUUUGCUGGCGACUAAAUCUGACAACUUAGGAGCCAGCUGUCCCCAAGGUUUCUUCCUGAAAGUAGAGCCCUGAGAGUGUUCAUGUUCUCCUCAUGUACAAUGUGUUGUAUAUCAUAAUAUAAAUGAAGAACAAUGGGCAAAUUCUAACAGUCAAAAGCGAAGCUUCAUUUUCGUGACUGGCCAUUUGUUUAGUUUUCUUGUUACAUGUGUUUGGUAACUGUGUGUGUUCACCCUUGAAUGUUAAUUUAACAAUAUCAAGACAAAGGAGUAGUUUUGCUGUAAGUCUGCAUUUGGCUACAAAAUGAACACUGAUAAAUCUGUUAGAAGGCCUAGAGGAAGUUGGUUCAGUGUUGUCACUCUGUUGUUUCUCAAAUAUUGUACACGUGUGUUAUGUGAUACUGACCUCGAGCGUGAAGUGUUAAUACUAGGAAACCUUGAAUUCUUUUCAAGAAAUGAAUAUAGCCUUUAUACCUUGUUAAAAAUAGAAUAUAUGAAGUAACAGGCCAAGAAUAUUCCUCAAUAUUGCAAAUUCUUAUGGAAGAUGACCAUGGAAAAGUGAUUGACACUUGCUUGAAUUUUCAUGUAAAGUGCCUAGGAUUCAUUUAGGAGAUGUAGAGAAAACCGACAUAGAGAGCUGUUGUCUCAUGUCACUCCAAUUCAAGCAUUGGAUUAAUGUUCUGCUUAUUUCGGCACUGACCACGAUGCAAGCCCAGAAGCAAACACCUCACUCAGUUGAAAAUUUUGAACAUUAUCGAGAGGUGGUGGAAUGUGGACACUGAAACUGCAUGUUCUUUUGAUAACAAAAUAAGAGAGUUCCUCUGUGUCCUAUGCUGACCACGAUCCAAGGCUAAGGGGAGAUACACUCCAUCAAAAUUGGUUAGAAAUUGUAACAACUCAAACAAACAUCAGGAGAGAAUCCAAAUCAAGCGGAAUGAGGGAUGACUUGUUGGAUGUUGUGUAGAUUGAUUGAGAGUAGAAAACGUUUACCGUUGUUUGGAUCGGUAAUGCUUGUUUACGUGUAGAAAACUUUGGGUUGUUGUUGAUUGUAGAAUGUAAAGUUUAAAUAAUAAGUAGCGGUAAUAAUUGUAAUUUACGUGUAGGUAUGAUUUGGUUGGGAUUUAUUUUAGUAUUUAAAGUGCAAGUAAUUCUUUUUUAAAUUUAGGGCCAUGGUGUGUUGUUGAAAAUUUGAAUACAGAUCUUUUGUUUUUAUUUUUCUUCUUGAGGUUUGGUUGUACGUUUGUAGGUAUGGACUAUUUUGGGCUAAGUAUUUGUUUUGGGUUUUUGAGGUAAUUUUUUAAGAUGUUAAAAUGUAAUUUGUAGGUGUGUAUGUUGUGUGUUUUAUGUGAGAUUGGGGAAAAAUUUGUCAGUGUCGAUCUAGUGUAUGAGAAAAAAUUUUGUAAGUGUCUAAUUAGUAAAUUUUGUGUGUAACUAUUUGAAAAUAUUUUUGUAAGUGUAAAAGUGUAUGAGAAAAAAUUUUCUAAGUG